rnacentral:rRNA from 1 species
AUACGGAGGAUCCGAGCGUUAUCCGGAUUUAUUGGGUUUAAAGGGUGCGCAGGCGGCCAUUUAAGUCAGCGGUUAAAUCGUGGGGCUCAACCCCAUUCUGCCGUUGAUACUGGGUGGCUUGAUUGCGGUCGAGGUUGGCGGAAUUCGUUGUGUAGCGGUGAAAUGCAUAGAUAUGACGAAGAACACCGAUUGCGUAGGCAGCUGACCAGACCGCAAAUGACGCUCAUGCACGAAAGUGCGGGGAUCGAACAGGAUUAGGUACCCUGGUAGUCCGCACAGUAAACGAUGAAUACUUGUUUUCGGCGAUAUAAUGUCGGAGGCAAAGCGAAAGCGAUAAGUAUUCCACCUGGGGAGUACGCCGGCAACGGUGAAACUCAAAUGAAUUGACGGGG